AAAUCAAUCCGUCACCACGCGCACAGGAAGGAAGCCUGGGCUGGGGAGAGAUACUGCUCUUAAUGACAUGUCUCUGUGUGCCUGGACCAGAGGGGGAAGUAACCGGAUAUUUAAACAGAGAUAAGAGUGUGUGCCAAAGGGGCCGGGAUUGGAUAUGACUGAAACCCCAUGGCAACCGGCCGGGGCUAUCGGAUAUGGAAAGCUCCUGUUUGUCUGAAGUGAACUGAGUGAACUGGAAGGGAAGGGGGGCGGUGAUACUACUUGGCACACUCGUCUGUUCCACUUCAGCUUGAUCCAUGUGUUGUGAUGCCUGCAGUGUCCUGGUUUGGCCCUUCAACAUUAAAUGACCAACAGUGAGUCUCAAGGAGCAUAUACAAUGUAAAACUAAGAUAUUAAAUGCAGCAUCGAAACAGCCGCUAGGAGGCACGGAGGAACACUGGCUGUUUAAAAAGAACAAGCUGCACAGAACGGCACUGGGAUUAUAAUGUCGUCCAGUCGGCCUGCGGGUCCACUACUUUGGUUGAGACUGAAAUAUCUGGAAAUCCCUGGAUUUUCAUGGUCCCCAGAGGAUGAAUUCCAGUGACUUUUGUGAUCCUCUGACUUUUCAUACAGCACAACCAGCAGGUGAAACUUAUCACUUAUCCAGUGAAAUAUCACAAUAUCUGUCAGAUAGAUCGGCACUGCAGGCCUCCCCAAAAACACUCACAACUUCAGCCUCACUGAUAACUCCACUCUGUCUCCCCCCCCACACAUCCGCAACCUCUGAGUCAUUUUUGACAGCAACCUCUCCUUUGAACACCACAUCAACCAAAUCACCAGAACUAGCUCUUUCCCCCCGGAAUCUUUUAACUACUAGCUUCUCUUCACCAAUCACUCUCCUUCUCUGCUGCUGAUCCACGCUUUCAUCAUAUCCAGAUUUGACUACUGCAACAGUGUUUUAUAUGGCACAUCAUCCACAGUCCUAAAUAUCCAGAACACCACUCAGCCGCUCCCACUCCUGUGACCACAUCAUCCCUGUCCUUUAGAACCUCCACUGGCUCCCUGUCCCACAGCAGAUCCAAAUCAAAGUCCUUCUCCUCACUCACAAAAGCCCUCUAUAACACUCCUUCCUAAAGCCUCCGAUCUUCUGAUGCCAAGCUCCCAUCGCCACCACUCAGGGCCAAGCAUCAUACCUGGGGUGACGGAACCUUCUCUGUAGCUGCUCACUCCCCAACCAUAUCCCAGACUCUACCAUCUGUCCACAUUCAACUCACUAUCAAAAUCUAUUUCAACUUAUGUACUUUAACUUUGCUCUAUAAUUAAAACAUAUUAUUAUUAUUAUUAUUAUUAUUAUUAUUAGGCCCACAGAGAUUCUUUGCUAUGUGUGUUGGUGAGUCCCAGACUUACAUCUGGCAUUUGUCGUUCUGACUGAAACUAUUGGAGAACUUGCGGUGACAUUUGGUUCAGACAUCCAUGUUUCUCUCAGGAUGAAUUGUAAUCACUUUGCUGUUCCAUGUACUUGAGCUAGCGCCAUCAUCAGGUCAAAAUGUAAAUUUGUCCAAAGCUUUGGUUUAUGAUCAAAUACAACCAUUGACCCACAUUCCCAUUGGCUUCAGGUGCACUUUGUACUAAUCAGCAAGUGUUAGCAUGCUAACACACUUAACUAAAAUGGUGCACUGAAACUUAGACCUGCUAAACAUCAUGUUAGCAGUCUGCACACAUGAAUGCCUGUGCUUAGAAUGGCAUAGGCCUACCGGUUUUUAGUAAUAUUUUAGUACUAGCGUUAGACGUUGGUUAGUUUUUUUGUACCAUGUGGUUCGUUCCUAUACGUACAGCUGCAUAGUUUCCCCCUGGGAAAGUGUCAAUGUCAAUAUAAGCAAGUUAGCAUGUGUUAGCAUACAGUUGCUGGCAUGGCUAUAGACUUAAACUAGACCUAAACUGCUUAAUUUCUAAUGUGGCUCCAGUUUAUUAGUAAGGUUGCUAGUGGAAAAAAUAUACUAAAAACACAAUUAAUGAUUGAAUUAAUUGAUUAAGUCAAAUGAAUGAAUGAAUACUCUUUAUCAACACGAGUCCAGCACUUCAGCUGCUGCGAGCUAAUACUAUUACCACAGUUUUUAAAUUCAACACAAAAUUCAUUGUAAAUUCAAAGCCCUCUGAAUAAUUGAUUCUAAAACAACACAAAAAGCCGUCGCACAGCUACAUGUCAUCUCCGGAAAUCUAGGACAUGGGAACUGACUGGUGAACACUGUAAAACAUUUCAUACAUUUUGUGCAUUAUUAAUGACUAAUCUGCUGAAGGAGAUGAUAGAGGUGAGCAAUGUGUGUGAUGUUUGUUCCUCUACCUCUGCACAGGACCGGGUUUAAAAAUAUCAUCCUGUUUUGUUUCUGUUACAUAACCACAGAACAAGUUACAGGCAUCAUUCUUUAUUCCCGCUCUCAUCUCUCCUGAAUUCCCAAAGUUUCAGUGUUUUUGUUCCAAAUGCUUUUAACUUGGUAGCCCAGAGGUUUGACCCACUGAGCACUCAGUCAAAUGAAAAUGGCAGUUUCUUUGUGAGUGCGGGGCAAUGACUCCACACAGAUAAAGAAUCGGCUUUUACCACUCACGUUUCUUUGCUUCUUUAAAUCGUACUUCAGAAGGUAGAGCUUUGUUUUUUCUUUUCUUUCAUUCAUUUAGUGAUGAUUUUUGUAAAGCAAGAGUCUCAAACUUAAUCUAAAAUUUCAGCUAAACACAAGCAACUUGCCCUUUGGUCUCCUCUCCAUAGUACCUAGCAUAUUGUGUUUGGUAGAGUGAUGCUGGCUGAUGCAUUCGUUGUGAAUAGCAGGACCUAAUGGAACAUUGAACUCAAAAAAAUAAUCAGUUGACCUCUCUUGAAAAAUGAUGUCCUCACUGUACCCUACCUGUACAGCACCAAGCUGGACGGAUAAAGACAGAUUAGCUGUUUAGACUAGAUAUUUUUCUCAGGAGGUGGUGGAGACAAAAACAGAGCUAAAAGGAGAAGGAAUAUUGGACUUUUGUUUGCAAGAUGGCAAGAAACACAACCAAAAAUGGAUGAUAAUGUAUCUGCUAUUCACCGUAUAAACUUUUUAACGUGAUAAUAUUACAUUUGUUACGCUGCCCCCAAGUGGCCAAAAAAAAUCUGUUUCUGAGGUGUUAUAUGUUAAAUAAAUGCAUAUUUUCAGCCUUGCUGGAAAAUUAAAUAAUUUUCCUAAAAGUUAAAAAUAGUUGGGGACCAGAAUAGGUCAGAUCACUGUGAGACCCUCUCUCACUUAAGCUAACUAGAUGGAGCAAACUGGUCAUAAUAGUGCCAUUCAUAUGUAAUCAAGAUGACAAACCACCCGCUUGUAAUUUCCAGAGUUUUGUUGUUUUACCAACUUUCCAGUGUCAAACCCAGCUUUGGACUACCUGCUGCCUGUCUUAAGACACAGAAAAUAAAGUUAAAGAAAUAAAAUAAAAUAAACAUAAUAGUAAAAUAUAGUGGAAUGCUUUAAUAAUUACUUUGUUUUGUUUUCCAUCUCAAUAAAAAACGAAAAUUGAGAGUCAGAAUCCCGGCAUUGGUUGGUUUACGUGUAAUUGCAAACAGACAGCAGCCUGUAUGACACACUGUGUGCUCUGCCUUAAAAUACUGUAGCACCAAAACUGGCUGCAUGACGUUUGCUGGAAAGAAUGCUUCAUUAAAUGGAAUUCUGUGAAAUUAAACAAAUGAAAGUCACUUUUUGUUGUCUGUUUCUAACGUUUGCUGACUUCCACUUAACAUUUCUUCCAGUGUUUAGAGAAGAGCUUGUCUGGGUGAUUUUAUGACCAUGAUACUGGUUGUUUAAAGGACACACACUCUCAGCUGAGGCUGCAGUUUGUGUUUGCGGGGCCAUAAAGUCAAUUAGAGUGAGGUUUAACCAACAAAGCUUUCCUGUUGUACUUCCUUCUUUUGAAAAGGAGACUGGGCUGAUGAACUGAUUCCAAGGCUUGUCCUGGAAUAUCAUGAAAUCUAAAUCAAGUGGUAUUUGCCCAUCAUCAUUUUACCCAGUUUGCAACUAUACAGGAUGAUACCAUCAAUGUCAGCGGAUUAUUUGAUUGUUAUAUCAAAUAUCAAGUUUUUUUCCACUGCACAAAAUAAUUUGUCCAUCUUUCUAACCAGUCUUUUUGGCCUUCAUUAUAUUUUUUGCUUUACUAAUGUAGUGAAGUUUUCCUUGUUUGAGGGAAAUGAGUGUCUGUAUCUUGAACAGAAUAAGGCAUUAAUGUUAAAGUAAGAAAGUGACAGAAAGUUCUCUUGAAAUUGGUUUAAUUAUAAUGAAAACUGUUAAAAAUAAAUCUCACAAAUUCUGUAUUGUUUGAAAAAGAAAUAAUUUAGGAUUUACUCAAUAUAAAAAUUAUCUUUUGCAGAUUGACUUCAUCCAAAGUGGGUCGAAGUUAAUUAUAAGUCCAAUUUUUACUCUCUUUUAGCUCUGUUUUAGGUCUCCACCAAUUCCUGAGGAAAAUAUGAUGCUAUGGGAAACAAUAAAGUUUUGGGCCGACAGCUACACACUGAACUGGGUAUGAAGCUCAGAUGAGCUGCAGAUUCAAGCAAUAAAUCUUUGGAGGUUCAUCACUAUGAGCGAACCCUUUACAUUGAGACAUAUAUACAAAUAUAGAUUAUAGCUGCUUUAAGGAUUAUUUGAUGCUACAACUAAAUAUAUAUGAGUAAAUGGUGGUGUUUUAAAGUAAUAUUUCCAAAUAUUAAAAAAAACAGACAACAGAUGUUACAACAGAACAGCGAUCUAACAGACACUCACCAAAACUAUAUCAGAGAUUGAGAUGGAAAAAUUACCACAACAAGUCUUUACCAUUUCCUUACACAUUUGCUGAUGCUACCAAAGCCUGACUCUGUUGUUGCUCUGGUCAAGGCUGUUGAUAACAUGAGGUUUUCGGGGGCAGGGGUUGCUCUGCAGUGACCUUGCAACAAAUGGCUCAAUUAUCCAAGGUACCAGCAGACUCCAUGCAUUCUUUGGUUAACCCCUUGCUGUCACGCACAGUCACACACACACUCACUCAAGUGUGCACUGGCCAAAGAGUUCAGAGGUCACCGCACUCUGAGCAGAAGCCCUUAACUUUUCUUCUCUCUCUUCCACUUGGACUAAUUUGGUGAUUUAAUGGCUGAGGAGUUGGCUUGCAGAAGGUUAUAGGAGAGGUAGUUGAAGUCAUAUGCAGUAAACUUUUCUCAUAAAUGCCAGGUAAAGUGUAUUGAAGUCGUGAAAUGCAUCAUAAAGACUCUUUGCAGUUUAAAAAGUUGGAUUAAACAAGGAGUUCUUUAUACUGCGGAGCUGGUUUAGGUUCUGUGACAGUCAGGGACAGUGAAAACCAUCGUCUCAGUGUGUGAAAAUCGAAAUCUGUUUCAUUAGUCUUAAAGUCUUUAAAUAAAACCGCAGCCCACAAGAAGAGUAUGUGUGAUGGAAUGUGAAAUGAAAAUCAAUCACAAAUGCUUUUGCUGUUAAAAAUCCCUUCCAGUCUCUCUCCUCAGAUUUUAUUUUGUUCACUUCAACAGGAGAUCAUUCAGUCGCAGCAGUAUUUUGCCACACAUAGAGCUCUAAUUACUGCAGUUUAUCACAGAUUGUUUACUGUAGUCUUGCUAAUAAGAUUAUACUACUAACAUUGUAUUCAUUGUAAGCUGCAUAAGCUAAGCAUCAUUAACUAAAUGCUUAAAUGCAACUGUAAAAAAGGAACGAGUUAAAUGAGUGAACUAAACCAUUUUGCAGAUACUAACAUGCAACUGACAAAGUAAGAGUAAUCUCAUUCCUUUCCACACAGAGUUGAACUUAUUACUAAAGUUUUGAAAAGGUUGCCAGGAGGUUAAGAGAAAAAAAUAAAUAAUUAACCAACUGUAAUCUACAAACCCCUGCUGCCCACAAAGUUUCACUUCUUAAGAUUCUUUAGCCAUUCUAGGUUCUGGUAAAGUGAGCUAUUAGUGUUAAACCAACUGUAUGAGCAUCUCUGCUGAAUUAAUAUACAGUAUGAAUUCAUAAAGAAUUCAUAAAGUCAGUAUAGAAUAAAUAAGUGUAUACUUCAGUACUUAUGUAUUUCUUACAUACUUCCACUCCACGUUCGCAAUUUCCUUGUCUCGUCUCUUGUGUUCUUCUUCUAAAUUGAAUUAUUUCUUAUGUUCUAUGUGUAUGUAGCGUGAAGGAAUUACAAGUUUUAUUUCUUUGUGCAUUUUUGUGUGUACAAUGACAAAUACAUGACCUUUAAUAGUUUAAUAGCUUAAAUGAACUCUCAAAUGUACAUUCUGGCAACAGCUCUUUUCAUUUCAGUUAUGAAUCCUCCCCGACAGUAAUGACAGUGAUCUUGAAAGUUGAAAUCAGGUUUGAUCAAAUGAACCAGACACUGAGUUGUCCAUAUCACUGUGAAACCAGAUAAAUUAAUUUAACUCAAAAAAUGUAUUAUAUCAAAAAUUGUAAGUAAAACUAAUUCAGUUUUGUAAGUUAAAAAUCUCGAUCAAGUAGCUUUAGUAAUUU